GACGUAGGGCGCGAGCGUUGUCCGGAUUUAUUGGGCGUAAAGAGCUCGUAGGCGGCUCAUUGCGUCAACCGUGAAAUCCUGCUGCUCAACGGCAGGUCUGCGGUUGAUACGGGUGGGCUGGAGUUCGGUAGGGGAGACUGGAAUUCCUGGUGUAGCGGUGAAAUGCGCAGAUAUCAGGAGGAACACCGGUGGCGAAGGCGGCAUCCUGGACCAUAACUGACGCUGAGGCGCGAAAGCUAGGGGAGCAAACGGG
rnacentral:rRNA from 1 species